GUCAGUAUAGCUUAUUUAAAGCGUGGCACUGAAAA
rnacentral:tRNA from 1 species